AACGAACGCUGGCGGCAUGCCUAACACAUGCAAGUCGAACGAGAGCUUCGGGUCUAGUGGCGCACGGGUGCGUAACGCGUGGGAACCUGCCCUUAGGUUCGGAAUAACUCCCCGAAAGGGGUGCUAAUACCGGAUAAUGUCUUCGGACCAAAGAUUGAUCGCCUUUGGAUGGGCCUGCGUUGGAUUAGCUAGUUGGUAGGGUAAAAGCCUACCAAGGCGACGAUCCAUAGCUGGUCUGAGAGGAUGAUCAGCCACACUGGGACUGAGACACGGCCCAGACUCUUACGCGAAGCAGCAGUGCGGAAUAUUGGACUAUGGGGGAAAGCCUGAUCCAGCAAGGACGCGUGAGUGAUGAAGGUCUUAGGGUUGUAAAGCUCUUUUACCCGGGAUGAUAAUGACAGUACCGGGAGAAUAAGCUCCGGCUAACUUCGUG
rnacentral:rRNA from 1 species